CUCACUGCUCUAUACCUUGGAUAGGGGGCUCAGUAGUGACCACGCGGCCGUCUUAGGAUAUUCAGUAAAAUGGUCUCCAACUUUAUCCCAUUCACUAAGUACAUUCAUGCGCGGCGCUAAAGCCGGUGACUUGGAAAAUUCCUUGUAUUGAAUAGCCUGCUUCAAUUCGCAGAGCCGAGCUGUCUAUCCAGUGUAUAGAGAUCAGUGGUGGCGUUGAACGAACGGUUCGUAAUCGUAGUUGAGCAACGAGGGAUUGGACCAUGGUCUAAUUAAUCAACCACUUGGAACCAUGCCUUGAGACCCAACCGAUUGAGCCAUUCACAUGGAAAUUACUGUAAGAGAUAUUGACCAUGAACGCUGCUGCGGAGAGUUGCAACCAACGGGAAACUGGUCGCACCGAAAAAUUGGGGUCGAUCGGGAAACCGGAAGCAGAACAAUGUUGGGGGCCCAACAUCUGUUUACAAUGGGUACACGAGGUGAGUUAGAAACUUGAGUUGGUUGAGUUGACUCGGGGAUUUGAUCACUGACUCUUUAUGCAAUGAACGAAUUGGUGUGUGCCAAUGAGAUAUCACGUGAUUUAGUAAAAACAUGUCCAGCCAAUAUCCACCAAUAAGACUUAAACAAUUUGACGUGAGUGGUUGAUGCAUGGGAGUGACAACGUGCAGGGGCAUAUCGUUGGCCAAGUUCACCAGUCACUGUCCAGGAAAUGGUUGGCCACUUUAAAGGCACGAACGGCCGCCCAACUGCUCAGAACGACCAGCGCUUACCUUCAGCCAGCAACACACUGGAAGAGAAGAUUGUAAGCAAGAGAUUACCAGUGUGGAAGCCGAUUUGAAGUCCAGAUAAAGCAGCGCGACGUCUACUUCGAGAUUCCGUCUUAGACCCGGACGUGAAGAAGACUCUUC